rnacentral:rRNA from 1 species
CUCAGCGGCGGACGGGUGAGUAACACGUGGGCAACCUGCCCUGCAGACUGGGAUAACUCCGGGAAACCGGAGCUAAUACCGGGUAAUACAUAGCAUCGCAUGAUGCAACGUUGAAAGUUGGCCUUUGGCUAACACUGUAGGAUGGGCCCGCGGCGCAUUAGCUAGUUGGUAAGGUAACGGCUUACCAAGGCCACGAUGCGUAGCCGACCUGAGAGGGUGAUCGGCCACACUGGGACUGAGACACGGCCCAGACUCCUACGGGAGGCAGCAGUAGGGAAUCUUCCGCAAUGGACGAAAGUCUGACGGAGCAACGCCGCGUGAGUGACGAAGGCCUUCGGGUCGUAAAGCUCUGUUGUUAGGGAAGAACAAGUACCGUUCGAAUAGGGCGGUACCUUGACGGUACCUAACCAGAAAGCCACGGCUAACUACGUGCCAGCAGCCGCGGUAAUACGUAGGUGGCAAGCGUUGUCCGGAAUUAUUGGGCGUAAAGCGCGCGCAGGCGGUCUCUUAAGUCUGAUGUGAAAGCCCACGGCUCAACCGUGGAGGGCCAUUGGAAACUGGGGGACUUGAGUGCAGAAGAAGAGAGUGGAAUUCCACGUGUAGCGGUGAAAUGCGUAGAUAUGUGGAGGAACACCAGUGGCGAAGGCGGCUCUCUGGUCUGUAACUGACGCUGAAGCGCGAAAGCGUGGGGAGCGAACAGGAUUAGAUACCCUGGUAGUCCACGCCGUAAACGAUGAGUGCUA